UCUGCGACAAACCAGCCAGUGACCCAGAGUGAAAGUCAACUUUACUCCUCUCUCCUGCACGGUGAUGUUUCUCUUUAUGAAUCCCUCAGACGCCCUGGAAACCCUGCAAACGGUGAACCAGCUCAGGAUUACAUCAAUGUCACAUCCCACCAGCUUGAUGAUCUUCAUGAAUGAUGACGGAGGAAGGAAAAGCCAUAAAUCAGUGUCAGUGAUGCCAGUGGAGCCUCAUCUUCAGGACUGGAAACCACAGCAGAGUCCGAGAAUCAACAGGUUCUGAUUAAAACAUGAAAAGCGACUGAAACCAGAUCAAGCCUGGUGGUUGAAACAAGGAGCUGCUCCUCAUGCACAGAAUACACACUGUGUGUAGGACGGUGUGUGGAGGAAGAGGCUUCAUUCCACAUGUUGUCUUCAGUGAAAAUGUCUGGUUGAUUGAUUGAUUCCGUCAUUUUUUCACAGUUUCACAUCAAUUGUCACGU